ensembl:snoRNA SNORD22 Small nucleolar RNA SNORD22
UCCCAGUGAAGAAUUCUUGCAUUUCAAUUCCCGUUCUAGCCCCAGGGCUUUGUGAAGACAACCGACUGGGGCUGGCGGGAAAAGAGAAGAGUAUUUGUUCCAGAAGGAAUUUCCUGAGGAAU